rnacentral:misc_RNA from 1 species
GAUGAAGAACGUAGCGAAAUGCGAUAAGUAAUGUGAAUUGCAGAAUUCAGUGAAUCAUCGAAUCUUUGAACGCACAUUGCGCCCGCCAGUAUUCUGGCGGGCAUGCCUGUUCGAGCGUCAUUUCAACCCUCAAGACCCCUUCGGGGGACUUGGUGUUGGGGACCGGCACAGGGGCCUGCCUGCUUGUCUUGCAGCGCCCUCGCCGCCCCCGAAAUGAAUUGGUGGCCUCGUCGCGGCCUCCCCUGCGUAGUAGCACAACCUCGCAACGGGAACGUGACGGCGGCCACUGCCGUAAAACAACCCCAAUUUUAUUAGAGUUGACCUCGAAUCAGGUAGGAAUACCCGCUGAACUUAAGCAUAUCAAUAAGCGGAGGA